rnacentral:rRNA from 1 species
GGGGUGCUCGAGUGGCGAACGGGUGAGUAACACGUGAGUAACCUGCCCUUGACUUUGGGAUAACUUCAGGAAACUGGGGCUAAUACCGGAUAGGAGCUCCUGCUGCAUGGUGGGGGUUGGAAAGUUUCGGCGGUUGGGGAUGGACUCGCGGCUUAUCAGCUUGUUGUGGGGUAGUGGCUUACCAAGGCUUUGACGGGUAGCCGGCCUGAGAGGGUGACCGGCCACAUUGGGACUGAGAUACGGCCCAG